rnacentral:rRNA from 1 species
AGCAGCCGCGGUAAUUCCAGCUCCAAUAGCGUAUAUUAAAGUUGUUGCAGUUAAAAAGCUCGUAGUUGAAUUUCGGGGUUAGUAGGCUGGUCGUGCCACAGGUACGUACUGGUCUCACUGAUUCCUCCUUCCUGAUGAACCGUAAUGCCAUUAAUUUGGUGUUGCGGGGAAACUGGACUGUUACUUUGAAAAAAUUAGAGUGUUUAAAGCAGGCUAACGCUUGAAUACAUUAGCAUGGAAUAAUGAAAUAGGACGUUCGAUCCUAUUUUGUUGGUUUCUAGGAUUGACGUAAUGAUUAAUAGGGAUAGUUGGGGGCAUUAGUAUUCAAUUGUCAGAGGUGAAAUUCUUGGAUUUAUUGAAGACUAACUACUGCGAAAGCAUUUGCCAAGGAUGUUUUCAUUAAUCAAGAACGAAAGUUAGGGGAUCGAAGACGAUCAGAUACCGUCGUAGUCUUAACCAUAAACUAUGCCGACUAGGGAUCGGAUGAUGUUAAUUUUUAAUGACUCAUUCGGCGCCUUAC